AUGCUAAUACGGUGACUACGCUCGUAGAUAUUUAAGUGCCGAUAUUUCUGGACGUGGGUUCGACUCCCACCAUCUCCAUAU
rnacentral:tmRNA from 1 species